rnacentral:rRNA from 1 species
GAAAAGAACUUUGAAGAGAGAGUUCAAGAGUACGUGAAACCGUUCAGGGGUAAACCUGAGAAACCCAAAAGGUCGAAUUUGGAGAUUCAUCGUCAACGAAGCCGGCUCCCGUUGGUGCGCGAUACCCCGAACGGGCCAUCAUUGGGUCCCGUGGCGAGGGCACGCCACCUUCGGUGAACGAUCCGGCGACGUAGUCGUGCACUUCUCCUUUAGUAGAACGUCGCGACCCGUUGUGUGUCGGUCUACGGUCCAGGCUGUUUGCCUGCCGCGGCGUCUUCGUACGCUCGGGGCAGAGGCUCGGUAGCCCGGCCGACUGCACGACGGUACUCUCACGGUAUCGGGCCGCAACCAAAGAAUACAUUCUCGAAUGUGUGUGCGUCGGGCCCGCCGCAAGCUCGGACAGUUUUACCCGGAGUGUGCGGACCUAGUGCCCUCCCCGGGUCUGGCCAGCUGUUGGCAGGCGGUGUCCUUUGACUGGCCAAGUUUUUUGAAUUACCGGUCGGCGACGCUACUGCUUUGGGUACUCUCAGGACCCGUCUUGAAACACGGACCAAGGAGUCUAACAUGUGCGCGAGUCAUUGGGACAUGAAAACCUAAAGGCGCAAUGAAAGUGAAGGUCGACCUUAGCGUCGACCAAGGGAGGAUGGGCCGCUUACGUCCCGGCCCCGCACUCCCGGGGCGUCUCGUUCUCAUUGCGAGAAGAGGCGCACCCAGAGCGUACACGUU